CCUGGUCUUGUCAGCAGCAUGAGGCCUGUCAUGCACCACGUUUUGGCUCGUGAUUUCUUUAGCUUUCAUUGGUUGAGCCCCGAAGUUUGAAGAAGGCCUAGGUGACAGCAUAACAUCAAUUUUUGAAUCAGAAAGAAACUUGCCCUGCAACAAAGAUUAAGAACUUUCCAUGUUAAACUCAUUAACAUUAGUCUCGGCAAUUCAUCAAUAGCAACAAUUCUUACCUCUGAGAACCCAUCCAUUGCAUCAGAGAACCCUCUUUUAUUCCCUGAAACAACACUCUUCUGUGAUGCAAAGCAGUGACCAUCACUUGAAGGAUGCAAAGGGAAAAACGGCUUCUCAUCAAGCUGAGAAGAACUUAACAAGCAAAGCUCUGGAUUUCUUUCAGGCAACUGCAAUCCAGGAAGUCCGAGCCUAAGCUCAG
rnacentral:lncRNA from 1 species